rnacentral:rRNA from 1 species
UACGUAGGGGGCAAGCGUUGUCCGGAUUUAUUGGGCGUAAAGAGCGUGUAGGCGGCCAGACAGGUCCGUUGUGAAAACUCGAGGCUCAACCUCGAGACGUCGACGGAAACCGUCUGGCUAGAGUCCGGAAGAGGAGUGUGGAAUUCAUGGUGUAGCAGUGAAAUGCGUAGAGAUCAUGAGGAAGACCAGUGGCGAAGGCGGGUCUCUGGACAGUUCCUGACACUGAGGCACGAAGGCCAGGGGAGCAAACGGG